AAAAAUUCCUACUAAAGUUCCUUCCUCUUCGCCGAAACCUCAUCGCUAACCCUAAAAAAUUUUCUCCAAAUCGAAGCUAAUUUCUGGUCAGAAUCUCAAGGGUUUUGGUCCUCCAAUCGCCUGUCUGAGCUUCGUUUCCUUCUUCUCCAGCAGAAAAUCGGCAGUGGUGGACUUCGACGUCGCUGUCUUCGUCUUUCUUCUCCCUCGCCAUCAAGCCUUACUUGCUGGAGAAUAAGGGUUGCAAUUGGAGAAAAAGGAUUGCACUUCGGUUCAUUCAGUUGCAAAAUUGGUGUAGUCUAUGAACUGUCUCUUGAUCUUAGAUGUGCCCUUCCUCACAAAUAUCCAAAUUGGCAAUUCACCUGUGUAUAAAAUUGAAAGGAAGCUAGGAAAAGGGGGUUUUGGGCAAGUUUAUGUUGGUUGGCGUAUGUCACCUGCUAACUCAAAUGAUAGAAUACCUGGCACUAAUGCUAUAGAGGCUUUAAGCUCAGCUAAUAGCUGGUAGAAGGAGGAGGACAAGGAUCAGCGAGAGAAAACAUCAAGUUACUGGAAUUAAAAUUGAAGGACAUGAAAAUGAUCCGGUCUGACACCACUACUAAUGAUGCUACUUCGAACGAUGGCACCACUACCAAUGAUGCUACUUCAAGUGAUGAUCCUGACGAAUCUGAUCCAUUACCUGAUCCAUUUCCUGCUGCUCGGCCUUGCUGCUCAAUUCAUUCAUCUUCAGUUGAUUCAAAUCACAAUGAGGAAGAUGCAAACCGAGACAAUGGCAACAUAUUGGAAAAUGCGGAAGUCGUCACUGAAGCAGUUAAUGUAAAUACAGUUGAUAGCACGGGACGGCACACGAAAAAAAGCCAAACUUUGAAGGAGUUGUGGGCAUUACCCCAAGAGGAGAGAGUUUUGGUUAGUGCAAACUGUCUGGGGCAACCAAUUGGGACCUGAGGCACAACUAUUUUUUUCAGUUUUUAGGUAUGCUUGCUCGAUCUAGUCAGAGAAUUGGCGUUCAAUAUGAGAGUUGGCAUGAAGUGCCAAAAACAUUGAAAGGAGGAAUUGUUAAACUUCAUUGAGUUGCGGUUUGUUCUUGAUAUUCCGAAAGACUAUGUGCUUAAGUCUUUUGGGAAAAAAUGGAAAGACUACAAAUAUGAUUUGAAAAAACGACAUUUCAAAAUAGAAGAUGGACUGCAGGCGAACAAAGAAAAGCAUCCAGAAGGGACCAUUAGAUGGCAGUGGGAAGAGUUAGUUGAUUUUUGGUAUUCGAAGAAAGGGGAGGAAUCAGAAGUUGGGAUUGCAUCUAGAAAGCAACAAAAAUAUACACACACCUCUGGUUUGAAACGUUUUGCAAGAAAAGAAAAAGAAAGGGAAAAGACAAAUGAAAAAUUUGUUGACAGGGAAGGGGAAAUGGUUGAAACUCAAGUAGGACUUGGAUUGGAUCCAAUGGCUACGAACUAUUGCAGAUAUUCAAGUAGCCGCAACACCACAGCAUCAAGCAAUCAUUUAACUGAGUGCAGAGAUCAAUUACAUCAAAUGGAGCAGAGAAUCCAACAACUGGAAGAAGAACGUGAGCGAGAACGCGUUCAGUACAAGAUUCUUGUUACGUUCUUGCAAAAUCAGUUCCCUGGAGCUAAUUUUCCCUUUCCUGACAUAGGUGGCCCAACUUCACAAUCUCAGAAACCGUCUCCAGGCUCUCAGUGAUGGCACUUCCAGUAGUUUGGAGGCUGGAGACAUGUUUUUGUUUUUGUUUUUGUUUUUGUGAUGGAUGAACUAUGAAUGGUGAUGGUAUAUGAAGGUUUUUUUUCAUAA